CAGUCGCCGCGGUAAUACGUAGGGUGCAAGCGUUAAUCGGAAUUACUGGGCGUAAAGCGUGCGCAGGCGGUUAUAUAAGUCAGAUGUGAAAUCCCCGGGCUCAACCUGGGAACUGCAUUUGAGACUGUAUGGCUAGAGUGUGUCAGAGGGGGGUAGAAUUCCACGUGUAGCAGUGAAAUGCGUAGAUAUGUGGAGGAAUACCGAUGGCGAAGGCAGCCCCCUGGGAUAACACUGACGCUCAUGCACGAAAGCGUGGGGAGCAAACAGGAUUAGAUACCCCGGUAGUCCCUGUCUCUUAUAC
rnacentral:rRNA from 1 species